rnacentral:rRNA from 1 species
GACGAACGCUGGCGGCGUGCUUAACACAUGCAAGUCGAACGGAAAGGCCCUGCUUGCAGGGUACUCGAGUGGCGAACGGGUGAGUAACACGUGGGUGAUCUGCCCUGCACUUCGGGAUAAGCUUGGGAAACUGGGUCUAAUACCGGAUAGGAACCAUCUUUAGUGUGGUGGUUGGAAAGUUUUUUCGGUGUAGGAUGAGCUCGCGGCCUAUCAGCUUGUUGGUGGGGUAAUGGCCUACCAAGGCGGCGACGGGUAGCCGGCCUGAGAGGGUGUACGGCCACAAUGGGGCUGGGAUACGGCCCAGACUCCUACGGGAGGCAGCAGUGGGGAAUAUUGCACAAUGGGCGCAAGCCUGAUGCAGCGACGCCGCGUGGGGGAUGAAGGCCUUCGGGUUGUAAACUCCUUUCGCUAGGGACGAAGCUUUUUGUGACGGUACCUAGAUAAGAAGCACCGGCUAACUACGUG